UAUAUAUAGAGGUCUAAUGUAAAGUGAUCUCUACAACAAUUGAAAGAAAGUUAAGAAAGAAAUAAAACAGAAGAACUUGUUUUAUAAUUCCUGUGUCUUUGAUCACUUUAAAUAGCUUUUUUUUUUUGAGCAACAGUAGUUAAUAGCUACACUGACAAAAAUGUGAGAUAUGCACUCGAUACAACACGUUGGAUCCUGAGGAUAUACCCAUCAUUGCAAGCAUUCAUGUUAGUCGAUUAUUUCAUCGGAUUCUAUGGCAUGGUCUUUCACGAAUACAAGAAAAUAUACUGUGAAAUCAGACUAUUAUAUUGAAUGUCAAUAUCCAGAUAAAAUCACAAAGGUGACUAGCAUGGGGCCAGAUAUUAAUGGAUUAUGUACAAAUAUAAUUCCUUAUAUAGGAAAUAUAUUCCAUUAGUUUUUAUUAAAAAUAUUAAAAUUAUUUUUUUUAGUUGAUGAAUACCUAAUUUUCAUUGAAAAAUAAUUGAUAAAUCAUAAUAUAUGUUUUCUAUAAUUUCUACAACUAGUUACAAUAAAUCAGUAUGUGCAAUAUUGUUUAAAUUAUUUAGCAAUUAUUAGUUAGGAUUUAGUGUUUAGGAUUUAGAGUUUAGUGUUUUAAUUAUUUUUAAUAAAAACUAAUGGAAUAUAUUUCCUAUAUAAGGAAUUAUAUUUGUACAUAAUCCAUUAAUAUCUGGCCCCAUGCUAGUCACCUUUGUGAUUUUAUCUGGAUAUUGACAUUCAAUAUAAUAGUCUGAUUUCACAGUAUAUUUUCUUGUAUUCGUGAAAGACCAUGCCAUAGAAUCCGAUGAAAUAAUCGACUAACAUGAAUGCUUGCAAUGAUGGGUAUAUCCUCAGGAUCCAACGUGUUGUAUCGAGUGCAUAUCUCACAUUUUUGUCAGUGUAGCUAUUAACUACUGUUGCUCAAAAAAAAAAAGCUAUUUAAAGUGAUCAAAGACACAGGAAUUAUAAAACAAGUUCUUCUGUUUUAUUUCUUUCUUAACUUUCUUUCAAUUGUUGUAGAGAUCACUUUACAUUAGACCUCUAUAUAUAUAGGACUUUCUUGACUUCUCCUAUUACAAGUAUAUCUAGGAAUUCUUAUCUUUAUCCUAAACACAUUAAGCUAUUCAUCCUUAUCUUCAAUAGCUUGUCGAACAAGUAAACUUGAAGCUUAUCCAACAUUCUCCCUUCUAAGUUUCAGUCCACUCUCACUUAGGUCUUGUACUUUGAUCAGUUCCACCAUCUCUUUGAACUUGAUCCUUGCUAGUGCUUUUGUUAACACGUCUGCGCGUUGCUCUGUUCCUGCAAUGUGAUCCACGUCGACUAACUCCUUCUCCACGCAUUCUCUGAUGAAGUGAAAACGCUUGUGGAUGUGUUUGCUGCGUCGAUGAAAUACCGGGUUCUUGGCAAGUGCAAUGGCUGACUUGUUAUCAACACGAAUCAAGGUUCUUUUGACUUCUCCUCCUACGAUCUCGCUUAAUAACUCUUGAAGCCAUAUAGCUUGCUUAGUAGCUUCAGUUGCAGCCAUGUAUUCGGCCUCACAAGAAGAUAACGCGACCAAUUCUUGUUUCUGCGAGCACCAUGAUAUUGGUGUAUCGUUGAGACAAAAUAGAUAUCCAGUCGUGCUUCGUCCGUCAUCUGGAUCGGUGUUGUGACUGCUGUCGCUGUAUCCCACAAGAUCUUGUGAUCCUCCAUGCUUGUACCUUAAACCGUAACCGCAAGAACCCUUUAAGUAUCUCAGAACUUGCUUCAACGCCUUUCCAUGUGCCUCUCUCGGUGAAUGCAUAAACCUGCUUAAUAUCCCAACACUAAACGCCAUGUCAGGUCUCGUAUGCAUCAAGUAUCUCAAGCAACCUAUCUUUCUUCUAUAGUCGCUUGCGUCAAUCUCAGGUUCAUUCAAUGCUUUUGAGAGCUGCACACCAAACUCCAUUGGUAUGCAUACCGAGUUGCAGUCACUCAUAUUUGCUUCCUCUAAUAUGCGUCGAGCAUAUGCUUCUUGCUUGAUCACAAUGCCUUCCUUGCUCUGUUUCACCUCUAUGCCGAGAUAAUAAGUUAACAAACCUAAAUCUGACAUCUCGAACUUCUCAGACAUCGAUGCUUUGAACUUCUUAAUUGCUUUCAUUGAGUUUCCCGUGAUGAAUAGAUCAUCUACAUAGAUAGCCACGAUGAGAAGAUCGCUUCUUUCUUCUUUGCGAUAGACUGAGCUCUCCUUAGUGCAUUUCACGAAUUUUAACUCCUUUAGUAUCUGAUUCAGCUUCGUGUUCCACGCUCUAGGAGCUUGUCGCAGACCGUACAAGGCUUUCUUUAGUUUAUAGACUUUGUGUUCCUCGCUUUUCUUCACAAAUCCCUCCGGCUGCGUUACAUAAACUUCUUCAAUCAACUCGCCAUGCAAGAAAGCUGUCUUUACAUCCAUGUGAUGUAUUUCCCACUUUUCUGCUGCGGCAAGAGCUAUCAGGAGUCUUAUUGUUUCAAGACGAGCCACGGGAGCAAAGACUUCAUCGAAGUCUAUACCUUGUUCUUGCACGUAUCCUUUUGCGACCAACCUUGAUUUAAACUUAUUAAUGCUACCGUCUGCAUUACGCUUGAUCUUGAAGACCCACUUGAGUCCUAUCAGCUUCACUCCUUGUGGUUUCUCUACAAGCACCCACGUCUCAUUCUUAUCAAUAGAGUUAAUCUCAUCUUUACAUGCAACUCUCCAUCUCUUGUCCUUAAGUGCUUCUUGUAUCGUCAUUGGCUCGUCAUUCAGUGCCAAUAGUAGUACUUCGCACUCGACGUCAGCUAACAGAACAUAGUCUUUAAGAUACUCAGGUUUGCUUACUUGUCUUGUUGAGCGCCUUAACUCUUGAACGGGGCUUUGAUCCUCUGCAGUCUCAGGUGAGUGUAUCAUCUCUGUUUCUGCUUCAGAGUCGACUACUUCUUCGGCAUCAUUCGUAGCAGUUGCUUCAGUUGUAACUCCAACUACAAACGGACCACUUCCAUUGUCUUCUAUAGCUCCCCAUGCCAUAUGGAACAUACCAGGCUCGCUUUGGACUUGCUUAGCAUCUCCCUUCCAAUUCCAACGAGCCUUCUCAUCAAAAAUUACAUCCCUACUUACUAUAAUUUUCUUUGAAGUGGGAUUGUAGAGUCUGUAUGCUUUCGAUCCUGGCUCAAUGCCAAGAUGAACUGCAGCUUCUGAUCUAUCAUCGAGUUUCUUUAACUGUCCUCCAUCCUUUUUAGCAUACGCUGUGCAGCCAAAUACCCGAAUAUGUGAUACACUCGGCUUUCUUCCCUUUAAGCACUCACAGGGAGUUUGAUUAGACAGUGCUCUUGUAGGUACUCUGUUAAUCAGGUACGUUGCGUGACGCACUGCCUCUCCCCAUAAGUAAUUAGGCACACCCAUUGCCUUGAGUAUGCUGCGAGUCAUCUCCAUGAGGGUCCGGUUUCUACGCUCCACCACGCCAUUCUGUUGCGGGGUGUAAGGUGCAGUUAGAUGCCUCCUUAUGCCGUUGUCAUUGCAGAACGUAUUGAACUCAUGAGAGGUAAACUCACCUCCUCUGUCUGUGCGUAGCGUCAUGAUCUCCUUCUUUAAGUCUUUCUCGACAAGUUUCUUAAAUGCUUUAAACCUGUCGAACGCAUCACUCUUUUCUUUCAAUAAGAUCGACCACAUGAAUCUUGUGCUGUCGUCAAUUAUGACAAAGAUGUAGCGGUUUAGAGACAGUGUCGCUGGUGAGAUAGGACCGCAAAGGUCUGCGUGCAAUAGCUCAAGUGGUUGAGAUGAUCUAAACGCCGUUGCUUUGGGAAAAGACUGUCUCGCUUGCUUGCCCACCAAGCAUGAAUCGCAGAGUUGUUUUUCUUCUCUUAUCUCUGGCAAUCCAAUCACCAUAUUGUGAGUUGCCAUGGCUUUUACAGUCUUGAAGCUUACAUGACCAAGUCUGGCGUGCCAUCUCCAUGAAUCUUCCUCGAGUUUUGCGUGCAAACAAGUCGCUUUUCCUACUUUCAAUUUCAACUUGUAUAGUCGAUUUGCAGUUCUCAAUACCUUUACUAGUAACCUCCCUUCAGGGUCUCUUAACGUCAGGAAGUUGUUUUUCAUUCGAACAUCACAACCUUGCUCAGUUGCUUGUCCCAGACUCAAGAUGUUACUCUUUAGCUCUGGGAUAUAGUAGAUGUCUUGUAACAGCUUCUGCUCCCCUGUCUUAGCUUCAAACAAGAUCGACCCUUUACCAUUUAUCUCGACGAAUGAUCCGUCCCCAAACUUUACCUUUCCUUUGACGUUUUCGUUUAGUUUGGAGAAGUAGGUCCUCUCUCCUGUCAUGUGAUUUGAGGCGCCAUUGUCAAGAUACCACAGACCUUCUUCUUUCUCGGGAAGUUCCAGCUUCUUUGGUAUAACUUUCUCUUCGUUGAGGAAUACUACUUCAUGCAUAUAUAAGGCUGCUUCUGCUACCUCUGUUUCGGUUUUGUUUAGCUCCUCGUUAUCUUUCUUCUCGGUACAGACCGAAGCAAAGUGACCCUUCUUCUUACAAUUGUAGCAUAUGAUCUGAGAGUAGUCUCUUUUCUCUUUACUCCUCUUGCCAUCGUUAACUCUACCACGUCCUCUUCCUCUGGUACCGCGACCACGUCCUCUGUUCUGUCCUCUGCCUCUUCCUCCAUUGUCAUAUGACUUUUCUGAAUUUGAAUACAGAAGAGCUCCUUGUUGUUCAUACGAUUCAAAGCCUUUGAUUCACUCUUCAUAAGCUUUAAGUCUUCCAAUUAUGUCUUCAAAGCUUGUAGUUUCCAAAUCCAAUAGCUGUUCCAACGAGGCCGUCAUAUGAAUAAAUUUAGGUGGCAAGCUAUUGAGAAACUUCCAAAGCUUGUAGUUUGAAUGUUUCGGGUUCUAUCGGAUAUCCAUUUAGAUUCGGGUUCGGUUCGGAUAAUACCCAUAACCCGAAAUACCAUAAAACAAGAUCCAUUCGGUAUUUACGUCGGGUUCGGAUCGGUUCGGAUUCGGUUCGGGUUUUCGGGUUCGGUUUAUUUGCCCAGCCCUAGUUUUAAUGAGAGCUUUAACAAAGUUAAAUUUUGUUUUUUUGGAGCUAUUAGUAUUUUCUUAUUUAUAUCACCUUGAUCUCGAACUCUGCUAAUUCAACUCGUAAUAUGUAGAGAUGGGCUGCCUGAAGUGACAGGCUUCAUUAAGAUGGGCCUUGGAGGUGAUUUCUCUUCGACGUUUAAUGAACAAAUGAUCACUUUAGACUUCUAGUUUGUUUAGGUAUUCAUACGGUUUUUUUUUUUUUAAUUGGAAAUAUCGUUUGAAUCUGAUUGAUAAUUAUGUAAUUUGUAUAUGUUCGACAACAAAAUGAUCAAAUAUGAUAGGCAAAUAAUUAUGUAGUGUUUUGUGUAAAAAGAACUCUAUAAUUGUCAUCAUUUCUUGUUAUCUUUUAGAAUGAUG
rnacentral:lncRNA from 1 species